rnacentral:rRNA from 1 species
UACGUAGGGGGCAAGCGUUGUCCGGAAUCAUUGGGCGUAAAGAGCGUGUAGGCGGCCUGAUAAGUCGGUUGUGAAAGUCAAGGGCUCAACCCUUGAAUGCCGGCCGAUACUGUCAGGCUAGAGUCCGGAAGAGGCGAGUGGAAUUCCUGGUGUAGCGGUGAAAUGCGCAGAUAUCAGGAGGAACACCGGUGGCGAAGGCGGGUCUCUGGGCCGAUACUGACGCUGAGGAGCGAAAGCGUGGGGAGCGAACAGG